rnacentral:rRNA from 1 species
GUCUUUUUGAGUAUAAUUUAAAGUCUAACCUGCCCUAUGAUAAUUUAAAUGGCCGCGGUAUUUUGACCGUGCUAAGGUAGCAUAAUCAAUAGUUUUUUAAUUGAAAGCUGGAAUGAAGGGUUGGAUAAAAAAAUUACUGUCUUUAUUUAAUUUUAUUAAAAUUUUAUUUUUAAGUUAAAAAGCUUAAAUUUUAUUAAAAGACGAGAAGACCCUAUAGAGUUUAAUAAUUUAUUAAUUUAGAUAUUUAGAAUUUAUUUUAUUAAUUAGUCUAUUUAUUUAAUUGGGGUGAUUAAAAAAUUAAAUUAACUUUUUUUGUAUUUUUACAUUAAUAAAUGUUUAUUUGAUCCAUAAUUAAUGAUUAUAAGAUAAAAUUACCUUAGGGAUAACAGCGUUAUUUUUUUUUAGAGUUCAAAUCGAAAAAAAAGAUUGCGA